UAUUCAUGUGAUGAGUUUAUCGCU
rnacentral:siRNA from 1 species